rnacentral:rRNA from 1 species
AUUGAACGCUAGCGGGAUGCCUUACACAUGCAAGUCGAACGGCAGCGCGGACUUCGGUCUGGCGGCGAGUGGCGAACGGGUGAGUAAUGUAUCGGAACGUGCCCAGUAGCGGGGGAUAACUACUCGAAAGAGUAGCUAAUACCGCAUACGCCCUACGGGGGACAGGGGGGGGAUCGCCAGACCUCUCAAUAUUGGAGCGGCGGAUAUCGGAUUAGCUAGUUGGUGAGGUAAAGGCUCCACAAGGCGACGAUCCGUAGCUGGUUUGAGAGGACGACCAGCCACACUGGGACUGAGACACGGCCCAGACUCCUACGGGAGGCAGCAGUGGGGAAUUUUGGACAAUGGGGGAAACCCUGAUCCAGCCAUUCCGCGUGUGCGAUGAAGGCCUUCGGGUUGUAAAGCACUUUUGGCAGGAAAGAAAUCGCAUCAAUUAAUACUUGGUGUGGAUGACGGUACCUGCAGAAUAAGCACCGGCUAACUACGUGCCAGCCGCCGCCGUAA